CUACGAAACUGCACAAUGUGGGAAACCACGAUGCGGGCAUUCCGAGUGCCAAGGCAUUGCUUUGGCUGUUCUUUCGCCUAAAAGCGAGAGAAGUAAGGGCCGGGUAAGACGGGUGCCAGCCGCCGCGGUAAUACCCGCGGCCCGAGUGGUGCUCAUUAUUAUUGAGCUUAAAGCGUUCGUAGCCGGCCUCGUAAAUCUUUGGGUAAAUCGGGCAGCUUAACUGUUCGAAUUCCGAGGAGACUGCGAGGCUCGGGACCGGGAGAGGUUCAAGGCACACAGGGGAUAGG
rnacentral:rRNA from 1 species